GACGAACGCUGGCGGCGUGCUUAACACAUGCAAGUCGAACGGAAAGGUCUCUUCGGAGAUACUCGAGUGGCGAACGGGUGAGUAACACGUGGGUGAUCUACCCUGCACUUCGGGAUAAGCCUGGGAAACUGGGUCUAAUACCGGAUAGGACCACGGGAUGCAUGUCCUGUGGUGGAAAGCGUUUAGCGGUGUGGGAUGGGCCCGCGGCCUAUCAGCUUGUUGGUGGGGUGAUGGCCUACCAAGGCGACGACGGGUAGCCGGCCUGAGAGGGUGUCCGGCCACACUGGGACUGAGAUACGGCCCAGACUCCUACGGGAGGCAGCAGUGGGGGAUAUUGCACAAUGGGCGCAAGCCUGAUGCAGCGACGCCGCGUGGGGAUGACGGCCUCGGUUGUAACCGU
rnacentral:rRNA from 1 species